GCUGGAUCCUUAACCCCCUGAGCGAGACCAGCUGCUGACCUCUGAAGUCCACUGCCCUCCAUGCCCAGGCCUCACUCCCCACGAGCUCCUCUGGGCACUGACCGAGCCGCGGAGAAGUGGUGCUCCUCCACUGGACGACUUUGGCUCAGGGACUCUUCCAGGACCCGCAGCCUCUCCCUGGAGCUGCACUGCAGGCCAAGGCGCUUCCUGCCUUCCGUCUUCUUCGCGUGGAAGUCCGACCUCCCUCGCGGCCGGUCCCGCCCCCAUUUUCCCGCACAAGUGUUUUCCGUAAUAAAUGUCUUACACUGA